GGAGGGCAGGACUGUGUGUGGUCGCGAUGGGAGGCGGUCGCACGUCAAAUUACUGCUGCUCUGACGUCAGUUUGGCGUCUACCUUUCUCGCUUAGAUGAGGAGGAAGAGUAGGAGGAGACGCCGGGAAGAAACGCAACAGAAGAGAUCUGAUACGAUCCUGUGAGAUGUUCAUCAUUAUGAGAUGUUCGGAUCCUCCUCUUAAAAUGUGCAGAAGAGAAGUCCUUGGGAUGUUAUUACCGAAGCUUUACUGUGUGGAGAAAGGAAAGGUGUCCUCAGGCUGCUCUCCAGUCUCCAGCACCAUGGACAGCUCCUCAGCCACCCCACUGAUUCACAGCAGGAGGAGGAAAGAUGGAAAACAAACAGAAAAAAAAUGAUGGAAAAACUGCUCAUUCCAUCAGCUCAGUAGAUUAUUUUAAGCAUAUAUUCAGAGUAAAGCAACAGAUGUUCAUUAGAUAUUAUUUCUUUAAUGUUGUACACAGAUUCAAAAUGAGUUCCAAGCAAAGAGGAUCAAGUGUAAUGUAAUAGGUUGCAAGUGAAAGGCUCCUGAGAGGGAAACAUUAUCUUAUAUUAUAUAACUGGGAUGUCAUUUCUGAUGCACAAACAUUCAGCAGUCUGGAGAUGAAACAAGAUUUGCAUUUUAUGUACAGUUGUGUGGUAAUGAACAGUAAUGCGUCAUAUCUUACAAAUCUGUUGUUUAUUUUGUGAAAUUUUAAUCCAGUAGUCAUGGACAUCAUCAAGUCAAACAGGAGUUUUCAAGAUAAUCUUGAGGCCUGGAAGAAGAAGAUCUUUUAAAAAUGCUGUAUAGAUGAAUAAAAUGGAAGGCAUGAAUGAAUAAACUGAGCUAAAAAUGUAAGAUAGCAGUAGAUAACUUUAUUUGCAUUUUAUGUGUAAUUUAGGGGAAAAUAAGACACUUUGACCACGAUAUUUAUAAAGGUGCUUAUUUUGUACUUCUACUUUACGCUUAUUUGCAAUAGCAUACACACUAUGCACAGCAUUUAAAAAUAACAGGACUUGCUGUGUUUUUUUUUAGAUCAUUUAAAGGUUGUUAACUCAAUUCCUGAUGACUAACACCUGAUGAGUGAAACUGAGAGAACGAGCUGAACUGUGAAGCUAAACUGUUAAAAAAGAAAAAGCCUUUUGGUCAUUAACGAAAACCAGUUUAAACCUUUGAAUAGAAGAUAGAUCUCUUUCCAGUGGAGAAGCAGCACAGAUUCUUUUAGACAUUAUUUGACAGGUAUAAUGGAGUUUAAAAUACCUCCUAAUUGCAAUUAUAACAUAAAACUUGAAUAAAUAAAGAGUUUCUGGUUUCAGUUUGCCUCUUUACAAAUCAGCAUGAUUGCUGUUGUAAAGUUGUGAGUGUUUGUGAUUUUACUGAGACAUAUGAAUAUCUGACACCUUGCAAUAUGUUAAAACAGCAGUUUGAUUUGUAAGCAUUCAUUAUAGUUCAUGUCAUAGUUAUGGUCUGUUUUAGUACAAAUAUGCACAAAAACACACGUUGCAAGUUGCCUUUAUUUCAAUAAGAGGAAAGAAGAGUUAUGAGAAUUAACUCAUUUGCAUUUCUGAGGCAAUGAGAUAAAGUUUCUGAGGUAAUUUAUAAUAAAUUAUACUUGUCAGCUACCUGAAAGGUAUAAUUAAGUGUAACGUACCUCUGAAUUGCAUUGACAACAGUACAGCAUUUACCUCAUGUUAGGGUUUUCUCUUUUAUUUUUCUGCUCAUUAGUGUACAGUUGGCAGUACGAGUGCUUUAACUGAGACAUACAUACUUCUUACUAUAAGUACUUACUGAAACGAUGGACCGUAAAUGUUCAUUAUGUUUACUGUCACAGCCAUUCUUAUCACAGGAAAGGCCCAUGACUCAUACAUGUACAAAGGCACACAGCAAACUUCCUUAAUUCAGAUGAAUGGAAAAAAGAGUUAUGAAAGUCAACUCACUUUUGAUGCAUGCUGGCAGGUUUGCUAAUAAGCAGCUACUGUCCUAUACUAUGAAAAGUCUAAAUAUGUGCUGUGAAAAAACCCUAUUAUGAAUUUAUCUGGGAAUGUUUCAAUAUUGCAAACAAUUGUAAUUUGGUUUGACUUAAAACACCAAAACUUACAUUUAUGCAAUAUAAAAAAUAACAAAGGAUUGGUUAAUGUCUCUAUGCUGUUUUAGUCUGUUUUCAUGUAAUGAGCUAUUCAAAUAAAAAUCUAAUUACAUUAA